rnacentral:rRNA from 1 species
AGUGAACGCUGGCGGUAGGCCUAACACAUGCAAGUCGAACGGCAGCACAGGAGAGCUUGCUCUCUGGGUGGCGAGUGGCGGACGGGCGAGGAAUACAUCGGAAUCUACUUUUUCGUGGGGGAUAACGUAGGGAAACUUACGCUAAUACCGCAUACGACCUACGGGUUAAAGCAGGGGAUGUUCUGACCUUGCGCGAUUGAAUGAGCCGAUGUCGGAUUAGCGAGUUGGCGGGGGAAAGGCCCACCAAGGCGACGAUCCGUAGCUGGUCUGAGAGGAUGAUCAGCCACACUGGAACGGAGACACGGUCCAGACUCCGACGGGAGGCAGCAGUGGGGAAUAUUGGACAAUGGGCGCAAGCCUGAUCCAGCCAUACCGCGUGGGUGAAGAAGGCCUUCGGGUUGUAAAGCCCUUUUGUUGGGAAAGAAAUCCAGCUGGUUAAUACCCGGUUGGGAUGACGGUACCCAAAGAAUAAGCACCGGCUAACUUCGUGCCAGCAGCCGCCGUAA